CAGCCGCCACGGUAAUACGAAGGGGGCUAGCGUUGCUCGGAAUGACUGGGCGUAAAGGGCGCGUAGGCGGAUCACGCAGUCAGAUGUGAAAUUCCUGGGCUUAACCUGGGGGCUGCAUUUGAGACGCGUGGUCUAGAGUGUGAAAGAGGGUCGUGGAAUUCCCAGUGUAGAGGUGAAAUUCGUAGAUAUUGGGAAGAACACCGGUGGCGAAGGCGGCGACCUGGUUCAUAACUGACGCUGAGGCGCGAAAGCGUGGGGAGCAAACAGGAUUAGAUACCCGAGUAGUCCCUGUCUCUUAUAC
rnacentral:rRNA from 1 species